rnacentral:rRNA from 1 species
CGGGAGGCAGCAGUGGGGAAUAUUGGACAAUGGGCGAAAGCCUGAUCCAGCCAUGCCGCGUGUGUGAAGAAGGUCUUCGGAUUGUAAAGCACUUUAAGUUGGGAGGAAGGGCAGUAAGUUAAUACCUUGCUGUUUUGACGUUACCAACAGAAUAAGCACCGGCUAACUUCGUG